rnacentral:rRNA from 1 species
GACGAACGCUGGCGGCGUGCUUAACACAUGCAAGUCGAACGGAAAGGCUCCAGCUUGCUGGAGUACUCGAGUGGCGAACGGGUGAGUAACACGUGGGUAAUCUGCCCUGCACUCUGGGAUAAGCCUGGGAAACUGGGUCUAAUACUGGAUAUGACCUUUCUCCUUAUGGGGUUUGGUGGAAAGUUUUUCGGUGUAGGAUGAGCCCGCGGCCUAUCAGCUUGUUGGUGGGGUGAUGGCCUACCAAGGCGACGACGGGUAGCCGGCCUGAGAGGGUGAUCGGCCACAUUGGAACUGAGAUACGGCCCAGACUCCUACGGGAGGCAGCAGUGGGGAAUAUUGCACAAUGGGCGGAAGCCUGAUGCAGCGACGCCGCGUGAGGGAUGACGGCCUUCGGGUUGUAAACCUCUUUCAGCAGGGACGAAGCGUAAGUGACGGUACCUGCAGAAGAAGCACCGGCUAACUAUGU